AAGAUUUUAGGAAACCUGGCUUCAACAUAUCAAUCAAGAAAUUUCUGUGGGUUUCUUGUUUAGUUUGUAGACCUUUUCUCACUUCCAUUGUGCUCUUUAUUCUUACUUAAUAUUAUUCGCAAUUAGGUUUAUGGAGGCCAAAGUCCAAACAUAGUAGGAGACUGACUUUGCAAAGAAGUCAUCAUCACAUACAAAUUGCCAGCGAAUGGUCAAAAUCACCAAGACCAUCCGCUACAUGGUUUUUAUUUUUUUUAAUUUCCUAUUUUUCC
rnacentral:lncRNA from 1 species